GCAUUUGUUUACAUGUGCAAAACUGUAGCAUUCAACUUUGAACUUAAAUUAAUUGAAUGUUGCUAUCGUUCUUAUAGUAUCAGAAACCAAAGCACAACAUGAUGAUGACAAUCACAUACUGACUUGCCCUUUUUCUCUUAAAUUGUGAGCAGUUCAUCCUUAAAUUCUUAUUUACCUUCAAUAAAUCAGAUGCUAGGGUUGUCCUAAUACUUUGAAUCUAUCAUCUUAAUAUCACAAUACAAUCAUUAAUAUCACAAUGACUAUCACAUUUCUGACUUGCACGUGAAUCUUAAUUUGUGAGCAGUUCAUCCUAAAGUCUUU
rnacentral:misc_RNA from 1 species